AACGAACGCUGGCGGCAUGCCUAACACAUGCAAGUCGAACGAACCCUUCGGGUUAGUGGCGCACGGGUGGCGUAACGCGUGGGAAUCUGCCCUUGGGUUCGGGAAUAACAGUUAGAAAUGACUGCUAAUACCGGAUGAUGUCUUCGGACCAAAGAUUUAUCGCCCAGGGAUGAGCCCGCGUAGGAUUAGGUAGUUGGUGGGGUAAAGGCCUACCAAGCCGACGAUCCUUAGCUGGUCUGAGAGGAUGAUCAGCCACACUGGGACUGAGACACGGCCCAGACUCCUACGGGAGGCAGCAGUGGGGAAUAUUGGACAAUGGGCGAAAGCCUGAUCCAGCAAUGCCGCGUGAGUGAUGAAGGCCUUAGGGGUUGU
rnacentral:rRNA from 1 species